AGUGCUCUGCGCCUGCCCCCAGAUCUCCAUCGGAAUGUAGAAAGGAUCUUAUAAAAAAAAAAAAGAAAACAAGAAGUUUGAAUUCCUGAAUGAUUUUUCUUGUAGAAAGGGGCUUAGGAUAAUGAUUUCAGCUUUAUUGAGUGCAGAUUAGUCGCAGUGUCGCUGCUGUCUCUCAAUACGCGCUGUACAUGCCUCUACAAUGUGC
rfam:Xenopus laevis strain J chromosome 5S, whole genome shotgun sequence.